UACAGAGGGUGCAAGCGUUGUUCGGAAUUAUUGGGCGUAAAGAGCUCGUAGGCGGUCUGUCGCGUCUGCUGUGAAAACCUAGGGCUUAACCCUGGGCCUGCAGUGGGUACGGGCAGACUAGAGUGCGGUAGGGGAGACUGGAAUUCCUGGUGUAGCGGUGAAAUGCGCAGAUAUCUGGAGGAACACCGGUGGCGAAGGCGGGUCUCUGGGCAGUA
rnacentral:rRNA from 1 species